rnacentral:rRNA from 1 species
GGAGUCUGGGCCGUAUCUCAGUCCCAAUGUGGCCGAUCACCCUCUCAGGCCGGCUACCGAUCGUCGCCUUGGUGGGCCGUUGCCCCACCGUCAAGCUAAUCGGACGCAUCCCCAUCCCGCAGCGAUGAAUCUUUCAUCCCAGUCUGAUGCCGUCGAAGGAUGACAUAGGGGCAUUAAUCCGA